UAAACUGCUUGAUUAAUGUGAAAUUCAGCCAUUUUAGUCAAGAAUUGUGUGAAGUCAAGGAAAAACCUGGUCCCUUUAAAAAAAAUUAUAGGGAGGCUCCCAUACUAAAGAUCACAGGUCCCCUAAUCACCUUGGCCAGGAGAGAACAACCAUGAAAAGGUACCUUCAUAGACAAGUGUAACAGAACAAGGCACUAGUGGCUCUAAGGGGCGACCCGUCAACUUUGCUAGAACUAAGUUUAAACUCCACCGUGGAAGCAGGCUAUGAGCCUAUGGGUAUAAUCUGAGCAAACCCAUUCGAAAUCUGAUGGGCAUGGCAUUGGAAAAAAUUGAUUGGUUAUCCACAGGAGGGUGGAAAGCAGCCAAAUAGACUCUGAUGGAACUAAGAGCUAACCCUUGUUUCAGAAAGAAAAGAUAAUCCAAGAUACAACAAAUUGGAGCUUGAGCUAAGGAGACCUCUUUAUAAUGGAUCAAAUGGAGACUAUCUUCCAUUUAGCAAGGUAAUUAGAUGUACUCAAAGGCUUCCUACUAUUUAGCAGCACUUCAUGGCAACAAACUGGGAAAAUGUUUGCUUUAAGGGAGUGCAGGAAGCAUCCAUGCUGUUGGGAUGAAGGAGGUGGCCAUGGUCCUUGGACAUCACUGCAAUAUCUCUCGGAAUAGCAGUAGAGGUCUGACCUCUGGAGUGGAGUUGAAAACCAGUGUGGAUAGGGCCACGCUGGGACUAUAAAAAUAAGGUCUAAUGGACCUAGACACAUCUGUCUGAAGAGAUUACUCAUGGUGACCUGGAAACAACCUGCUUAGGUGGUCUGCCAGGGUGUUUUUAACUCUCAGAAGGGGAAGACCGGAUGACUGCUGCAGCCAAGAUUAACACCGCAUAGUGAUGGCAGAAGUCCUAACUUGAGCCACAGAGUCUACUGCAUCCAGGCUUGCUUGCAGUGCUGUUUUGGCAAUUAGUUUGUCCUCCUCCACCAUAGCAGCAAACUCUUGCUUUGCCUCAUCAGGAAGCUUGUCUUUGAACUUCAGGAUAUCAUCCCAUAGGCUGAAAUCAUACCGACCCACAGAGCCUGCUGGUUCACGAUCCUAAGCUGUAAACCUCAUGUGGAAUAAAGUUCCCUGCCAAACAAGUCUAGCUUUUUUGCUUCUUUUCUUUUGGGGUGGAGGCCUGGUUUCCAAGUCCCUGGUAGUUGCUGCAGCUAAUGAAAAAGAGGGAGUCUGGAAGACAGAUAGUGGUUAUAGAAGUGCUCAAAUCCCUGUGAAGUGACAGAAUAUCUUCUCUCCAUCCUUUUAGCCGUGGGAGACUGACAUAUCAGGGUACAAUUCAGACUACUGAGGGGCUGUGUCACUCAUGCCCUGCAACCCUGGGUGCCUUACAAUGCCUUGCUGAAGUAGCUCCCACCCUUCCAUUAUGCAAGCCACACCCUUAGUGUCUGUUUAUAACAGCAGCCUGCCAGUUACACCCUGGCUCUCAUCAGCCUUGGUUACACUGCAGAAUGACCCCAAUGCACUCCCAGUCCUGGAUUUUCCCCUGGAAAUGUAUAUCCUGUACUACCCAGCCCUCUUCUGGACAAUACAAAUAUAUUAAGUGUUAUUACUUAAAGAGAAUAUGCCAUUUUAUUACCUUAAAGGUAGUAACCCAGACACUUCACAUAAGCACACUGGAUUAGAUAAAAUGAGUUUAUAACUACAAAAAGAUUUAAGAGAGUACAAGAUUUUAAAUGGGUACAAACAACAAGGAAUAAAAAUCAGGAAUAGUUACAAGAAAAAUGAAAAUAAAAUGUUUACUAGUGCCUAACAAGCUAUAUUAGAUUUAAGCAAAAUUUCUCACCACAUGCCUCCAGCAACAUUACUGUCCAAACUCUUCAGGUCAGGAGUCCACAUCCUUCGCCGCCAAGUCCAAUGGCUCUUUUUCUUUGUCUGCCUGUCUCCAGCAUCACACUUAAGAAGAGAGAGGCGGUCCCUUGGGGUGUUUGUCCCCUUUUUAUAGUUUCAGUCCCCUUCUAGAAAAACAUUUCCAGCU